GAUGAACGCUGGCGGCGUGCCUAAUACAUGCAAGUCGAGCGAACAGACGAGGAGCUUGCUCCUCUGACGUUAGCGGCGGACGGGUGAGUAACACGUGGAUAACCUACCUAUAAGACUGGGAUAACUUCGGGAAACCGGAGCUAAUACCGGAUAAUAUAUUGAACCGCAUGGUUCAAUAGUGAAAGACGGUUUUGCUGUCACUUAUAGAUGGAUCCGCGCCGCAUUAGCUAGUUGGUAAGGUAACGGCUUACCAAGGCGACGAUGCGUAGCCGACCUGAGAGGGUGAUCAGCCACACUGGAACUGAGACACGGUCCAGACUCCUACGGGAGGCAGCAGUAGGGAAUCUUCCGCAAUGGGCGAAAGCCUGACGGAGCAACGCCGCGUGAGUGAUGAAGGUCUUCGGAUCGUAAAACUCUUUUAUUAGGGAGGAACAAAAGUGUAAGUAACUAUGCACGUCUUGACGGUACCUAAACAGAAAGCCACGGCUAACUACGUG
rnacentral:rRNA from 1 species